CCCAAUUGACGUGCUAUUUGUAGACAAAACUAUAAAGCAUAAGCUAGAUAACCCUGGUACGUAGCCAAAUCCGACAAUAAAAGUCCCGUGAAGAUACUGCAAAGGCAUAAAAAAUCCCUCUUUGUUCUUUCGGGGGUAGUCAGAUUUCUAUUAGAGAACUCAUUUCACUCGUCGUCGCCUUACUCGUCCCCUCUCAGAACAGCCGAAUUCCGAGCUACGGACAAGCAACCAUUGCCUGGGCUACCUGUGAUUACAUUUGCGUUUCAAGAGUCACCUACGCGCGCGCUUAACAAAUACUCCGGUCGUUAAAUCAUGAUUCACUUACCAGCUCUAGCAAGAAGAAGUUCAAACUCAGUUUAAAGUUUAAGAACGCACUUUGAAUUGCUCGAGCAAUCGACACUAGGGCCACAAGGACCACCCACGCAAACAGCGUAAUCACAGGUAGUCAUGAUCAAGAAAAAUAUCAAGCAUCAUCUGAAUUACAAUUUUAUGCUUGCCUGAUUUUAUAAGAAGCAGCCUCAUGUGAUCUCUUUGUGUUGCCCUAAAGCCUUUUGUGGCUAACGGAGGUGUUACUGUAACAGGAUGCCGCUUUGAGGGAGUGUGACAAUUCUUUUAGCUUAUGCCCUUAUGUCAACGAAGCAUGUUUGCUUGUGGUAUUCGUGUUUUAUUCUUCGAUUGGUGUUUCCUACGGUAUCUUUUUAAAAUAAUUUUGGCAUCAUUUAUAUGUUUUUUUUUAUAGAAUGAAGAACAUAAAAUAAGAAAUAAUCUAGAAUAAAAACUGCAAGCCGACUAGUUGAACUAUUCUUUAUAUCGGGUUUCCUUUGCAAAUUCAUGCAUUCUCAUCUGGUAGACCGCUGAUCAGUUGUCAUCUGAAACCAGACUCGUGUUCAAGUACUUGACCUUUGCAUUGAAAUUAAUCUUACAAAUCGGCUUUUCUCCCAGAAACCUCUUGGCAGAAGAUGAAGAGGGCAAGACCUGUGCUAAAUGCCAGAGAGAGGGACAUGGGGAGGCUCAUUGCCUCCAAAAAUCAAGAAUUACCUGAGGGCCAAGAUGAAUGCUAAACACUGGAAGACAUGAGAAUU